CAGCUCUGCCAAUGCCAACUCGUUGCUGGCACGCAUCCGGAGGCCUUCCAGCUCCUUCCUGUGGGCCUGCAGCACCAGCUCCGUCAGACGCGUGAACGACUGGAAACCAAAGGGCACAGAGCGUCAGGCUUCACCAGACGCUGAAUCUGCUGGCACCCCGAUCUUGGACUUCCCGUCGUCCCAAACUAUGCAGAAACGAAGCACAAAGAUGUAAUCAAAGUGUCUGAAGGUCACAGAGCCAGUACCGCCACAGGAGAUGUGUGUGUUCAUCUAGGCUCUUUCCAUUCUACUCAUUCUUCUUACCUUCUCCUCCUUUCUAGGUAGUUGGGGAACAGAGUAGGUAGAGACUGGUCUCAGGCUGCCUGAGGGCUGGUAAAAACCCAGCCCUGACCCCCUCACAAUGUCACAUUGCGUUUGUCCCCAGCUACUCUCAGUCUAGAAACCUGCAAACCCCAGGAUUCUAGUGUCUAAGCACAUGCCCCAAUGUCUGUUAGGUCACUCUGUUCCAGGCUUGGAUCUAACCCCACCCCCUCCCUCACCCUCUCGCACCUCCUCAUCACAAGCCCUUGCCCCAGGCAGCCAAGCCAGUCCCAACAGAACUCCCUGAGAAAGGUAACACAGCAACCCAGCCUGAGAAAGCACCCUGAAGCAACAGCAGCCCAACCCGUCCAACCAGAUCACAGCCACACAGGCCAAAGCCGCCUCCUCACCCAGAAAGGGUGCAGCCUGGAGGGUGGCUUUCAAAACAAAAGCUCCAGGGACUAGGUGACAGGUCUACUCAGGGAAGACUAAGGAUGGGAGGGAGAAAACCAACUCCUGACGGGAGUGAGGUUGCUCAUGCCUAUAAUCCCAGCACUUUGGAAGGCUGAGGCUGGUGGAUCAGGAGUUCGAGACCAGCCUAGGCAACAUAGUAAACCUCAUCUCUACAAAACAUACAAACAUUAGCUGAAUGUGGUGGCGUGCACCCUGUAGUCCCAGCUACUUGGGAGGCUGAGGCGGGAGGAUUGAUUGGGUUUAGGAGAUUGAGGUUUCAAUAAUCCAUGAUUGUGCCACCACACUCCAGCCUGGGUGACAGAGUGAAACCUAGUCUCCGAAAGGAAGGGAGGGAAAGGGAGCGGAGGGGAAGUGGGGGAGAAAACCAACAACUCCUGAGCAGUGUCUUCAGUUUCCAUUUGUGGUUUAUAUCAUCUCACUCCUGGACACCAUGCAGAAAGGUCCUGAAAGGCCCCCUGAACAUAGAUGUCCAUGUGUGACAUCUCAUGGCAUAGGUCCCAUGAGAUCCUUUCAGAAGUUGCCAGGUUGAUUGGUUUGAACCACUCCCCAUUCAGGAGGGAAACCAGAGCAGGUGACUGUGUGGAAGUUGGUGUUGGUACCACCAGGGGUGAGGAGCCAUUCAGAGGUUCCUUCAUGCCCAGAUACUACUGCAGGCCCUGACUGGUCUCCCUGCUUCAAGUCUGAACCCCUUCUUCCAGCCAACCUCAUUAGGACCCUACUCACAAACCUUUCCUACCAUUGCUAAGGCUUCCAUUCCACCUCCUUAGCCAGGCUCUCAAUGCCCUCUGCCAACUGAUCCCUACGUUCAUUCAUUAAUUUAACAACAUGCAUUGAGAUCUGCCUGGCCCUGUACUAGGGACUAUGAAAACAAUGAGGAAUAAGAUUUGGUUGCACCAUCAAGGCACUUAUAGUCUGGGAGACAGAGAGGUAAACAGGAAUGUUCUCGCACUUCUGAAGAGCCCCUUCUGUUGCAGCUAAACUGCCUAGAGCCCCAUGAACGCCCACUCAAUCCCACCUGUUUUCUCUGCUCAUGUUACUCCAUCUGCUCUCUUCUGCUGCAGGAACUGAUGAGCAGCCCACACUGGGGCCUAGCUUCAGCCUUCCCUGCCGGCUGUAGUUCACAGGGGCCUCUGUCUUCCCCAGCCUCCACCAGCACCUAGUCGUGGCAAUAGCACUCACCCAUCCCUUCCUAUCACCAUUCUCCGGCUGCCUCAUGGUACAUCUUUCAUCAUAAUUUCACUUCUGAUACCCACUGUGAGACUUUCGUUAAGAGUAACUGUAAUGAUCAUAAUCGAUCCUUUUUAUUUGAAGAGUGAUUCACCAAGUACUUUCAGAUAUCUCAUUUUGCCAAUAGCUCUUUUUUUUCCCUUUGUCUUGCCUGUCCAUCUAGAUUAUGGGCUUCUGUGGGUAGGAGAGUAGACUACAAUAUGUCUUUAAAAAGCCUGGCAGAGGGCUUGGUAGGGAAUGCUCAAUUCAUUUGUUUAAGGUAGUCCUUUGGGGACCCCCCUGCACCAACCCCCAUCCAAGCCAGCACAGCUGCAUAGGAAGGAAAUGCCCAUGGCAGAGAUCCAGCAGCAGGGCCACCUGCCCGCCUGCUGGCCAGAAAGAAGAAACGGAUGGGGGAAGGGACAGUCAGUGUCUCAGUCUACCAGGGAGGUCUGUCACUGCUCCCUGGCAGGUUCUUCUCUACAAGACCACAGGCUGUUAAAGCAGAGUACACAGUAAAUCACAAAAGUACUGGCCUAGGUGAUAUUAACAUGAGCCAAGAAGCCGUACUAUCUUGGCAGUCACUGGUGAAUUACCUCAUUUUCUUAAUUCACAAAAAUAAAGCCCCCUGGGAAAGGUGCUUCAAUCAGUGCCCGGCAUGGCCGUGUAAUGUGUUUUAGACAAUGCACAGUUUGAGAACAGUGACUGUG